rnacentral:rRNA from 1 species
UACGGAGGGUGCGAGCGUUAAUCGAAAUUACUGGGCGUAAAGGGUGCGUAGGUGGCACGAUAAGUUACUUGUGAAAGUCCUGGGCUUAACCCAGGUUGGACGAGUGAUACUGUUGAGCUAGAGUACAGGAGAGGGCAGUGGAAUUCCAGGUGUAGCGGUGAAAUGCGUAGAUAUCUGGAGGAACAUCGGUGGCGAAGGCGGCUGCCUGGUCUGAUACUGACACUGAGGCACGAAAGCGUGGGGAGCAAACAGGAUUAGAAACCCGGGUAGU